GACUCCCAGUGACGACGGUCUACGACCGUCGGCUUUUCUGGAAUGUAAAAAGUUUCAGGUAAUAAGGGCCGGGUAAGACUGGUGCCAGCCGCCGCGGUAACACCAGCGGCCCGAGUGGUAACCGAUUUUAUUGGGCCUAAAGCGUCCGUAGCCGGAUUGGCAAGUCCCUUGUGAAAUCGGGCGGCUUAACCGUCCGGCUUGCAAGGGAAACUGUCAGUCUUGGGACCGGUAGGCGUCUAGGGUACUUCAGGGGUAGCGGUGAAAUGCUAUAAUCCCUGGGGGACCCCCAGUGGCGAAAGCGCUAGGCGAUGCCGGAUCUGACGGUGAGGGACGAAAGCCAGAGGAGCAAACCGGAUUAGAUAUCCGGGGUAGUUCUGGCUGCAAAGGAUGUGGGCUAGGUGCUUGUCGUUCCUCGAGAACGUCGGGUGCCGAAGGGAGGCCGUUAAGCCCACCGCCUGGGAAGUACGGCCGCAAGGCUGAAACUUAAAGGAAUUGGCGGG
rnacentral:rRNA from 1 species